GGGUUGUGAGGUUAAGCGACUAAGCGUACACGGUGGAUGCCCUGGCAGUCAGAGGCGAUGAAGGACGUGCUAAUCUGCGAUAAGCGCCGGUAAGGUGAUAUGAACCGUUAUAACCGGCGAUUUCCGAAUGGGGAAACCCAGUGUGACUCGUCACACUAUCAUUAACUGAAUCCAUAGGUUAAUGAGGCGAACCGGGGGAACUGAAACAUCUAAGUACCCCGAGGAAAAGAAAUCAACCGAGAUUCCCCCAGUAGCGGCGAGCGAACGGGGAGGAGCCCAGAGCCUGAAUCAGCAUGUGUGUUAGUGGAAGCGUCUGGAAAGGCGCGCGAUACAGGGUGACAGCCCCGUACACAAAAGCGCAUAUGCUGUGAGCUCGAUGAGUAGGGCGGGACACGUGGUAUCCUGUCUGAAUAUGGGGGGACCAUCCUCCAAGGCUAAAUACUCCUGACUGACCGAUAGUGAACCAGUACCGUGAGGGAAAGGCGAAAAGAACCCCGGCGAGGGGAGUGAAAAAGAACCUGAAACCGUGUACGUACAAGCAGUGGGAGCCCCACCACUAAGCCAGUGGUGAACUCCACAUACGCAUCCUUUGCUGAGGAUACGGUUAACGGAGCGAAAGCGACGUUCAACCGCAAAAGAAGCAGAGGGGGCUUAGUGGUGGGGUGACUGCGUACCUUUUGUAUAAUGGGUCAGCGACUUAUAUUCUGUAGCAAGGUUAACCGUAUAGGGGAGCCGGAGGGAAACCGAGUCUUAAUUGGGCGUUAAGUUGCAGGGUAUAGACCCGAAACCCGGUGAUCUAGCCAUGGGCAGGUUGAAGGUUGGGUAACACUAACUGGAGGACCGAACCGACUAAUGUUGAAAAAUUAGCGGAUGACCUGUGGCUGGGGGUGAAAGGCCAAUCAAACCGGGAGAUAGCUGGUUCUCCCCGAAAGCUAUUUAGGUAGCGCCUCGUGAAUUCAUCUCCGGGGGUAGAGCACUGUUUCGGCUAGGGGGCCAUCCCGGCUUACCAACCCGAUGCAAACUGCGAAUACCGGAGAAUGUUAUCACGGGAGACACACGGCGGGUGCUAACGUCCGUCGUGAAGAGGGAAACAACCCAGACCGCCAGCUAAGGUCCCAAAGUCAUGGUUAAGUGGGAAACGAUGUGGGAAGGCCCAGACAGCCAGGAUGUUGGCUUAGAAGCAGCCAUCAUUUAAAGAAAGCGUAAUAGCUCACUGGUCGAGUCGGCCUGCGCGGAAGAUGUAACGGGGCUAAACCAUGCACCGAAGCUGCGGCAGCGACACUGUGUGUUGUUGGGUAGGGGAGCGUUCUGUAAGCCUGUGAAGGUGGCCUGUGAGGGUUGCUGGAGGUAUCAGAAGUGCGAAUGCUGACAUAAGUAACGAUAAAGCGGGUGAAAAGCCCGCUCGCCGGAAGACCAAGGGUUCCUGUCCAACGUUAAUCGGGGCAGGGUGAGUCGACCCCUAAGGCGAGGCCGAAAGGCGUAGUCGAUGGGAAACGGGUUAAUAUUCCCGUACUUGGUGUUACUGCGAAGGGGGGACGGAGAAGGCUAUGUUGGCCGGGCGACGGUU
rnacentral:rRNA from 1 species